rnacentral:rRNA from 1 species
GAUGAACGCUAGCGGGAGGCCUAACACAUGCAAGCCGAGCGGUAGAGUUUCUUCGGAAACUUGAGAGCGGCGCACGGGUGCGGAACACGUGUGCAACCUGCCUUUAUCUGGGGGAUAGCCUUUCGAAAGGAAGAUUAAUACCCCAUAAUAUACUGAAUGGCAUCAUUCGGUAUUGAAAACUCCGGUGGAUAGAGAUGGGCACGCGCAAGAUUAGAUAGUUGGUGAGGUAACGGCUCACCAAGUCUGCGAUCUUUAGGGGGCCUGAGAGGGUGAUCCCCCACACUGGUACUGAGACACGGACCAGACUCCUACGGGAGGCAGCAGUGAGGAAUAUUGGACAAUGGGUGAGAGCCUGAUCCAGCCAUCCCGCGUGAAGGACGACGGCCCUAUGGGUUGUAAACUUCUUUUGUAUAGGGAUAAACCUACUCUCGUGAGAGUAGCUGAAGGUACUAUACGAAUAAGCACCGGCUAACUCCGUGCCAGCAGCCGCGGUAAUACGGAGGGUGCAAGCGUUAUCCGGAUUUAUUGGGUUUAAAGGGUCCGUAGGCGGAUCUGUAAGUCAGUGGUGAAAUCUCACAGCUUAACUGUGAAACUGCCAUUGAUACUGCAGGUCUUGAGUGUUAUUGAAGUAGCUGGAAUAAGUAGUGUAGCGGUGAAAUGCAUAGAUAUUACUUAGAACACCAAUUGCGAAGGCAGGUUACUAAGCAACAACUGACGCUGAUGGACGAAAGCGUGGGGAGCGAACAGGAUUAGAUACCCUGGUAGUCCACGCCGUAAACGAUGCUAACUCGUUUUUGGGUUUUCGGAUUCAGAGACUAAGCGAAAGUGAUAAGUUAGCCACCUGGGGAGUACGAACGCAAGUUUGAAACUCAAAGGAAUUGACGGGGGCCCGCACAAGCGGUGGAUUAUGUGGUUUAAUUCGAUGAUACGCGAGGAACCUUACCAAGGCUUAAAUGGGAAAUGACAGGUUUAGAAAUAGACUUUUCUUCGGACAUUUUUCAAGGUGCUGCAUGGUUGUCGUCAGCUCGUGCCGUGAGGUGUUAGGUUAAGUCCUGCAACGAGCGCAACCCCUGUCACUAGUUGCCAUCAUUAAGUUGGGG